GUGUCAGCAGCCGCGGUAAUACGUAGGGUCCAAGCGUUAUCCGGAAUCACUGGGCGUAAAGCGUGCGUAGGUGGGAAUUUAAGUGUGAUGUUAAAUCGUGUGGCUCAACCAUAUCGAUGCAUCGCAUACUGGGUUCCUAGAGGACAGCAGAGGCAAGUGGAAUUAGCAGUGUAGCAGUGAAAUGCGUAGAGAUUGCUAGGAACACCAAUGGCGAAGGCAGCUUGCUGGGCUACUCCUGACACUGAGGUACGAAAGCGUGGGGAGCGAACAGGAUUAGAAACCCCCGUAGUCC
rnacentral:rRNA from 1 species